UACGUAGGGUGCAAGCGUUAUCCGGAAUUAUUGGGCGUAAAGAGCUCGUAGGCGGUUUGUCGCGUCUGCUGUGAAAGCUGGAGGCUCAACCUCCAGCCUGCAGCGGGUACGGGCAAACUAGAGUGCGGUAGGGGAGAUUGGAAUUCCUGGUGUAGCGGUGGAAUGCGCAGAUAUCAGGAGGAACACCGAUGGCGAAGGCAGAUCUCUGGGCCGUAACUGACGCUGAGGAGCGAAAGCAUGGGGAGCGAACAGG
rnacentral:rRNA from 1 species